rnacentral:tRNA from 1 species
GGGGUCGUGGUCUAGUUUGGUCUAAGAUUCGCGCCUGGGGCGUGCGAGGCCCGGGGUUCAAAUCCCCGCGACCCCACCA